rnacentral:rRNA from 1 species
UACGUAGGGUGCGAGCGUUGUCCGGAAUUAUUGGGCGUAAAGGGCUCGUAGGCGGUUUGUCGCGUCGGGAGUGAAAACGCCGUGCUUAACACGGCGCUUGCUUUCGAUACGGGCAGACUAGAGGUAUUCAGGGGAGAACGGAAUUCCUGGUGUAGCGGUGAAAUGACGCAGAUAUCAGGAGGAACACCGGUGGCGAAGGCGGAUCUCUGGGCCUUGCCUGACGCUGAGGCGCGAAAGCUAGGGGAGCGAACAGG